CGGACGGGUGAGUAACACGUACGUAACCUGCCUAUAAGACUGGGAUAACGUAGUACGGAAACGAUAACUGAGACCGGAUAACUGGUUUUCUCGCAUGAGAGAAUUAUGAAACACGGAGCAAUCUGUGGGUUAUAGAUGGGCCUGCGGCGCAUUAGCUAGUUGGUGAGGUAACGGCUCACCAAGGCGACCAUGCAGUAGCCGACCUGAGAGGGUGAACGGCCACACUGGGACUGAGACACGGCCCAUACUCCUACGGGAGGCAGCAGUAGGGAAUCUUCCGCAAUGGACGCAAGUCUGACCGAGCAACGCCGCGUGAGUGAUGAAGGUUUUCGGAUCGUAAAGCUCUGUUGCCCUAGACGAACAGCAAGGAGAGUAACUGCUCUUUGUGUGACGGUAUAGGAGAAGAAAGCCCCGGCUAACUACGUGCCAGCAGCCGCGGUAAUACGUAGGGGGCAAGCGUUGUCCGGAAUUAUUGGGCGUAAAGCGCGCGCAGGCGGUCAAUUAAGUUGGGUGUUUAAGCCCGGGGCUCAACCCCGGUUCGCAUCCAAAACUGGUUGACUUGAGUGUAGGAGAGGAAAGUGGAAUUCCACGUGUAGCGGUGAAAUGCGUACAGAUGUGGAGGAACA
rnacentral:rRNA from 1 species